rnacentral:rRNA from 1 species
GUGGGGAAUAUUGGACAAUGGGCGCAAGCCUGAUCCAGCCAUGCCGCGUGUGUGAAGAAGGCCUUUUGGUUGUAAAGCACUUUAAGCGAGGAGGAGGCUACUUGGAUUAAUACUCUAGGAUAGUGGACGUUACUCGCAGAAUAAGCACCGGCUAACUCUGUGCCAGCAGCCGCGGUAAUACAGAGGGUGCGAGCGUUAAUCGGAUUUACUGGGCGUAAAGCGUGCGUAGGCGGCUUUUUAAGUCGGAUGUGAAAUCCCUGAGCUUAACUUAGGAAUUGCAUUCGAUACUGGAAAGCUAGAGUAUGGGAGAGGAUGGUAGAAUUCCAGGUGUAGCGGUGAAAUGCGUAGAGAUCUGGAGGAAUACCGAUGGCGAAGGCAGCCAUCUGGCCUAAUACUGACGCUGAGGUACGAAAGCAUGGGGAGCAA